GACGAACGCUGGCGGCGUGCUUAACACAUGCAAGUCGAACGGAAAGGCCUUUUCGGAGGUACUCGAGUGGCGAACGGGUGAGUAACACGUGGGUGAUCUGCCCUGCACUCUGGGAUAAGCCUGGGAAACUGGGUCUAAUACCGGAUAGGACCGCACUUUAGUGUGUGUGGUGGCAAGUUGUUUCGGUGUAGGAUGAGCCCGCGGCCUAUCAGCUUGUUGGUGGGGUAAUGGCCUACCAAGGCGGCGACGGGUAGCCGGACUGAGAGGUUGGUCGGCCACAUUGGGACUGAGAUACGGCCCAGACGCCUACGGGAGGCAGCAGUGGGGAAUAUUGCACAAUGGGCGCAAGCCUGAUGCAGCGACGCCGCGUGGGGGAUGACGGCCUUCGGGUUGUAAACUCCUUUCGCCAGGGACGAAGCGUUUUGUGACGGUACCUGGAGAAGAAGCACCGGCUAACUACGUG
rnacentral:rRNA from 1 species